rnacentral:misc_RNA from 1 species
GUUUAAAGCAAGCUGAAUCUAUCAGAGCUGAAAAGAAGUUGGGUUCUGGUGACGCUGUAUGUGCUUCAGUAGCUUCAGAUCAACAAAUCCUGGCUGUUGGUACUGGAACUGGAGUUGUUGAGUUGUAUGACCUAGCAGAAUCUGUAUCACUCAUCCGUACUGUGUCUUUAUAUGACUGGGGAUAUUCAAUGGAUGACACUGGUUCUGUCAGUUGUAUUGCCUGGC